rnacentral:rRNA from 1 species
GACGAACGCUGGCGGCGUGCUUAACACAUGCAAGUCGAACGGAAAGGCCUGCUUUCCCUUGUGGAUUGCGGGUACUCGAGUGGCGAACGGGUGAGUAACACGUGAGUGAUCUGCCCCCAACUUGGGUAUAAGCCUGGGAAACUGGGUCUAAUUCCCGAUAGGACUGCAGGGUGGUGCCUGUGGUGGAAAACGAUCUUCUAGUGGUUGGGGAUGAGCUGGCGGCCUAUCAGCUUGUUGGUGGGGUAAUGGCCUACAAAGGCGGCGACGGGUAGCCGGCCUGGGAGGGGGGACGGCCACAUUGGGACUGGGAGACGGCCCAGACGCCUACGGGAGGCAGCAGUGGGGAAGAUGGCGGAGUGGGCGGAAGCCUGAUGCGGCGACGCCGCGUGGGGGAUGACGGCCUUCGGGUUGUAAACUCCUUUCGACCGCGAGGAAGCCACCUGGUUGGAAGGGUGGUGACGGUAGUGGUAGAAGAAGCACCGGCUAACUACGUG